UACGUAGGAUGCAAGCGUUGUCCGGAUUUAUUGGGCUUAAAGGGUGCGUAGGCGGCCCUGUAAGUCAGUGCUGAAAUAUCCCGGCUUAACCGGGAGGGUGGCAUUGAUACUGCGGGGCUAGAGUACAGAUGAGGUAGGCGGAAUUGACGGUGUAGCGGUGAAAUGCUUAGAUAUCGUCAAGAACACCUAUAGCGAAGGCAGCUUACUAGGCUGUAACUGACGCUGAGGCACGAAAGUGUGGGGAUCAAACAGG
rnacentral:rRNA from 1 species